GCAUGCACUCCAGCUGCUAUAAGCACUUCCAUGGUUACGAGCUCUCUGGUUGAAUCUCUGAGUUAGGAGCAUAGAGACCAAUAAUGGACGCACGCUGAUUUAAGCAUUCUUCCAUGAUCGCAAGUUCUAUGGCUACAUCUUUGUGUUGGAAAAUGGAGACCAAUAAUGGCCGCACUGAGGCUGAUGUAAGCAUCUUCCAUGGUCAUGAGCUCCAUGUCUGCACUUAUGCAUUAGGAAUGUAUAG